rnacentral:ncRNA from 1 species
GUAUUGCAUGAAAGGAGAGAAGGUUAGCACUCCCCUUGACAAGGAUGGAAGAGGCUCUCAGGCCUGACAACACACAUACGGUUAAGGCAUUGCCACCUACUUCAUGGCAUCUAACCACUGUUUUAA